GGCUGGUCCAAAGGAGGUGAGUUAUUUUAAUUGUUCACAGUCAGUUACAGAUUGAACUCCUUGCUACUCUUUCCCACUUCUCACUACUGCACUUGACUAGUCUUAA
rnacentral:Y_RNA from 1 species